GCCUCAGUAGCUCAGUCGGUAAGUCUCGAUAAAGAGCACUUCACUCGUAAUGAAGGGGUCGCGAGUUCGAUCCUCGCCUGAGGCU
rnacentral:tRNA from 1 species